GAUGAACGCUGGCGGCGUGCCUAAUACAUGCAAGUCGAGCGAACAGACGAGGAGCUUGCUCCUCUGACGUUAGCGGCGGACGGGUGAGUAACACGUGGAUAACCUACCUAUAAGACUGGGAUAACUUCGGGAAACCGGAGCUAAUACCGGAUAAUAUAUUGAACCGCAUGGUUCAAUAGUGAAAGACGGUUUUGCUGUCACUUAUAGAUGGAUCCGCGCCGCAUUAGCUAGUUGGUAAGGUAACGGCUUACCAAGGCAACGAUGCGUAGCCGACCUGAGAGGGUGAUCGGCCACACUGGAACUGAGGCACGGUCCAGACUCCUACGGGAGGCAGCAGUAGGGAAUCUUCCGCAAUGGGCGAAAGCUUGACGGAGCAACGCCGCGUGAGUGAUGAAGGUCUGCGGAUCGUAAAACUCUGUUAUUAGGGAAGAACAAAUGUGUAAGUAACUAUGCACGUCUUGACGGUACCUAAUCAGAAAGCCACGGCUAACUACGU
rnacentral:rRNA from 1 species